UCUUCCACAAUGGACGGAAGUCUGAUUGAUCAACGCCGCUUUAGCGAAGAUGUUUUUCGGUAUGUAAAGCUCUUUUGUAAGGGAAGAACAUGUACGGAAGUAACUGCCCGUACCUUCACUGAACCUUAUCAGAAAGCCACGUCUAACUCCCUGCCAGCAGCCCCGGCAAUACGUAUGUGCCAAGCGUUGUCCGGAAUUAUUGGGCGUACAGCGCGCGCAGGCGGUCCUUUAAGUCUGAUGUGAAAGCCCACGGCUCAACCGUGGAGGGUCAUUGGAAACUGGAGGACUUGAGUACAGAAGAGGAAAGCGGAAUUCCACGUGUAGCGGUGAAAUGCGUAGAGAUGUGGAGGAACACCAGUGGCGAAGGCGGCUUUCUGGUCUGUAACUGACGCUGAGGCGCGAAAGCGUGGGGAGCAAAC
rnacentral:rRNA from 1 species